GACGAACGCUGGCGGCGUGCUUAACACAUGCAAGUCGAACGAUGAACCUCCUUCGGGAGGGGAUUAGUGGCGAACGGGUGAGUAACACGUGGGCAAUCUGCCCUGCACUCUGGGACAAGCCCUGGAAACGGGGUCUAAUACCGGAUACGACUCAGGACCGCAUGGUCUCUGGGUGGAAAGCUCCGGCGGUGCAGGAUGAGCCCGCGGCCUAUCAGCUUGUUGGUGAGGUAACGGCUCACCAAGGCGACGACGGGUAGCCGGCCUGAGAGGGCGACCGGCCACACUGGGACUGAGACACGGCCCAGACUCCUACGGGAGGCAGCAGUGGGGAAUAUUGCACAAUGGGCGCAAGCCUGAUGCAGCGACGCCGCGUGAGGGAUGACGGCCUUCGGGUUGUAAACCUCUUUCAGCAGGGAAGAAGCGAAAGUGACGGUACCUGCA
rnacentral:rRNA from 1 species